GCGCGCCGCUUCCGCCUGGGUGGGAAGGGCCUCCCCUCCCCCAGCGAGAAAGUCUGCUGCCCGACCUGGUAAACCUCACCAAUGCCCUGGAUGAACCCAGGGCCUUCACACUGAGAUUUUGUUAUGUUGAGGCAGUGUCUCGCUAAGUUGGCCAGGCUGGGCUUGAACUUGGAUCUUCCUGCCUCAGCCUUGCAGAGUGCUGAGAUUACACCUGUGUGCCUCCAUGCCCAAUUCAAUUUUUUGUGUGGGAGAGAGCUGAACAGACUGCCUUCUGUAGCAGAAGUCAGUGACCUUUGAGGAUGUGGCCGUGAACUCCACCCAGGAGGAAUGGACUUUGCUGAAGUCUUCCCAGAAGAAUCUUUACAGAGCUCCGACCUUCUAGAACUUGGCCUCUGUAGGUCAAAAAUGGCAGUACCCAACCAUUGAAGAUAAUUUAAAAAAUCUCAACAGAAAUCUAAGAUGUCGAGUGCUAGAGAGAUUCUUUGAACAUAAAGUAGACAACGUGGAAAAAUGUUCAGCAAGACUCCAGAUCAUAGAGUGAACAAGAAAAACUCUAGGGUAAAAUGACGGAAAAGCCACAUGUAUAGAGAAGUGUCCAGUAGUCUUUGUUUCUGAGGGACAUCAUAAUUAACCGUGGACAUAGGCCAUCUGCGUAUCAGGACUGUAUAGACAGGCCCCUUGAAUGUAAAAAAUGUGAUAAAACUUUUAAGUGGCCCUGUGACCCUUGAAAUUAUGAAAGGACUCACAUUGGAGAAUCAUACCUCACAUGUACUUAACUUUGGUAUAACUAUUUCAGUCAACUGGAAAAUUUCGUUUUUGUUUUUUUUCAACUGAAAAACUUUGAGCUUUAAUAGGUAUCGUAUAACAUUUUACUGCUUUGGGAACAGUUCAAGGAUCUUCAGCCAGUUUGCCUAAGCAUUGCCUAAGCAUUCUCAGAUUUUAGUUUCAUAUUUUUAAAGUGUGCUUAUGAUAACUUUAUAGAUGAUUCAUUAAAUCCAUUUUGAGUAUCUUG